UGUAAAAUAUCCUCUUGGCUCCUUCUUUUCUGUCCUUUAGUCGCUCUGGAUUUUUUUUUUGUCGGUGCUUCGUCCUCCUUUUUCCCCAGAAACUAUAUUGCGAAGGUAAGAAAUGGAGGUAAGGCGGCGGCUUUACUCUUCUCGCUGUUAAUUCCUCGCUCCCUUUUCCUCCUCUCUUAAUUUGCCACGAUGUAAAUUUUCUCGCUGAGUUCUUAUUUUUCUCCGAGUGGAUUUGGUUUUUUUUCUCUCUCUCUCUCCCUCCCCACAGAAUAAGAUAUGCUUUUCCCCUCCCCAGGGUAAACUAGAUUUUCUUUCGGGUUGUCUUCCCACUGUAUGAAGCUUCUGCUUUUAUUUCUCACACCACCGGUGGUUUUCUUCCUUUUUUCUCCCCGGGUGAAUGUGCACUUUCCCGGGUGUAAAUCCUCCCCCUUUGCUGGCAGCCUGGUUUGUAGUAAACACGAGCCCCAAGUCUUCUGGAUAGAUAUAAAAAAAGGCGUCUCCUCUCCUUGUCCCCAGGAUGAGGACAUCGCUCACCAGGCCAGUAUUUAUUGCCCAUUCCUAAUUGCCACCUUGAACUGCUGCAGUCCAUGUGGUGUAGGUACAUCUACAGUGCUGUUAAGAAGGGAUGUCCAGAUUAGACCUGACAGGAUAAAACUUUGCAAGUUCGGAGGGAGAUGGAUUACAGUGAGUGAGGGAAGCGAGAAACUGAUAAAGCUGAUGUCACACCAGUAAAAUUUCUAGAGGACAAAAGGAAUCCAGAUGGACCAGGAAGACCGAAGAAAAAGUCAGGCUGUUACCUGUCUGAAAUAGUUUGAAAAUGUCAAAGAAGAAAGCAGCUCCCAGGACCAGCAUGAAGGGAGCCUUGAAGAAAGUACCAGCAAAAGAUAGCAUGAAGUGGAGAAGGUUAAGGAAGGAGAGUUGCUCCAUCUUCAAAGUAACAAAUCUGGAAUUGGCAGAAAUACACACGGUCAAGCAACGUGAUGAUAUAUUCAAUUUUUCCCUCACAUGGAAAGCUCCAGGCAUUGUCAAAGCAUCUCCCUCCAGAUAUGCCAUUAGACAUCCAACUACAUGUGGAACUCCAUCUUAUUCUAGGCAUCAGCCAUGGCUCACCCUAAUGCACUCUCACCUUACAUUCAGAAAGUUGAAUUCAAGUCCCACUUCAGAGUCGGAGUGAUAUUUCAGUACUAAGAGAAGCCAUCGAUGAAGCCAUCUUUUCAUUGACGUGUUAAACCGAGGACCCUUCCACUCUCUCUGAUCAACAUAAAAAGAUCCCA